AGGGCGCAAGGUGAAUGCCUUGGCGCCGGGAGGCGAUGAAGGACGUGGUUACCUGCGAUAAGCCUCGGUCAGUCGGAAACAGACUUUGAUCCGGGGAUUUCCGAAUGGGGAAACCCAGCUGGGCCUUAAACCCAGUUACUGUGAUGUGAAUGCAUAGCAUCACAGAGCGAAACCUGCUGAAGUGAAACAUCUCAGUAAGCAGAGGAAAAGAAAGCGAAUGCGAUUCCGUAAGUAGUGGCGAGCGAAAGCGGAACAGCCCAAACUCAAGAGCUUGCUCUUGGGGGUGUGGGCCUCAAUGUGGUAUCUGGAAGGAUAGAUGAACUCGUUUGGAAAGGCGGGCCAAAGAGGGUGAUAGCCCCGUAGAUGAAAUCCGGAAAGAGCCUAGAGGAUCCCCGAGUAACACGGGAUAAGUGGAACCCUGUGUGAAUUGAUGCGCGAACCAUCGCGUAAGGCUAAAUACUACCCGGCGACCGAUAGUGAACUAGUACCGUGAGGGAAAGGUGAAAAGGACCCCGUGAGGGGAGUGAAAAGUACCUGAAACCGUGCGCCUACAAGGUGUCGGAGCAGUCUUCGGAUUGUGACGGCGUGCCUUUUGCAUAAUGAGUCUGCGAGUUAUUGUUCGUGGCCUGCCUAAGUUCCUUUGGGACGGAGGCGAAGCGAAAGCGAGUGUGACAAGCGCGUCUUGUCGCGGGCAAUAGACCCGAAGCGGAGGUGAUCUAGCCAUGGCCAGGUUGAAGCUGCAGUAACAUGCAGUGGAGGACCGAACCAGUGUACGUUGAAAAGUGCUUGGAUGAGCUGUGGCUGGGAGUGAAAGGCUAAUCAAACCCCGUAAUAGCUGGUUCUCUCCGAAAUAGCUUUAGGGCUAGCGUCAGGUAAAGAACACUGGGGGGUAGAGCACUGAAUGGCUCAGGGCCCAUACCCGGGUACCAAAACCAAUUAAACUCCGAAUACCCAGUUCCCAUAUCCCUGGCAGUCAGACCGUGGGAGAUAACUUUCACGGUCGAAAGGGAAACAACCCAGAUCGCCGGCUAAGGUGCCCAAAUCAGGUUAAGUGGUAAGGAUGUGAAAUUGCACAGACAGUGAGGAUGUUGGCUUAGAGGCAGCCACCAUUUAAACAUAGCGUAACAGCUGACUCAUCGAGCGAUUUUGCGCCGAAAAUGAUUGGCGAUUAAACCUGAUACCGAAGCCGCGGAACGUGCUUGCACGUUGGUAGGAGAGCGUCGCCUGUGCGUUGAAGCAGAACUGUAAGGAACUGUGGAGCGCAGGGGAGUGAGGAUGCAGACAUGAGUAGCGAUAAGCCAGGUGAGAAUCCUGGCCGCCGUAAACCCAAGGGUUCCCUUGCCACGCUCGUCGGCGAGGGGUUAGUCGGGACCUAAGGCGAGGCCGUAAGGCGUAGUCGAUGGACAGCAGGUUAAAUAUUCCUGCACCGGCGGGUAAUUAGUGUUUGAGUGCGCAUUUUUGGAAGGUGUAAACACCAUGUGUUGGGAGGCCUAGUCCUUGUGGCAAAGCCGCACACCCCAAGAGAGUGCCAAGAAAAGCUCAUUCACAUUCUAUGCCCGUCGCCCGUACCGUAAACCGCCACAGGUAGGAGGGUGUAAAUGUACCAAGGCGCGCGAGAGAAAUUUCCUUAAGGAACUCUGCAAUCUAGCCCCGUAACUUCGGAAGAAGGGGUGCCACCUUCGGGUGGCCACAGUAAAGGGGGUCUGGCGACUGUUUACCAAAAACACAGCUCUCUGCUAAGAUGUUAAGUCUACGUAUAGGGAGUGACACGUGACCAAUGCGGAAAGAUUAAGGCUGUUCUGUUAACGCAGGGCACCCAAGUCCCCGUGAAUGUCGGCCGUAACUAUAACGGUCCUAAGGUAGCGAAAUUCCUUGUCGGGUAAGUUCCGACCUGCACGAAUCGUGUAACGACCGGACCGCUGUCUCAAGGAAAAUCUCGGCGAAGUUGUAAUGGCGGUGAAGAUGCCGCCUACCCGCGGUAGGACGGAAAGACCCUGUGCACCUUUACUGUAAGCUGGUAUUGGGUUCUGGACUUAGAUGUGUAGCAUAGGUGGAAGGCGUUGAAACGUGUUCGUCAGGAUACGUUGAGCCAACAAGUGAAAUACCACCCUUUUAUUUCUAGGAUUCUAACCUCGAUUUCUCUGAAGCGAGACGAGGGACAGUGCUUGCGGGUCAGUUUGACUGGGGCGGUUUCCUCCCAAAAAGUAACGGAGGAGCGCGAAGGUACUCUCAGCAUGGUUGGCAACCAUGCCUCGAGCGUAUAGGUAGAAGAGUGCUUGACUGUGAGACCGACAGGUCGAGCAGGUACGAAAGUAGGCCUAAAUGAUCCGACGGUUGAAUAUGGAAUUGCCGUCGCUCAUCGGACAAAAGGUACGCCAGGGAUAACAGGCUUAUCGCGCCCAAGAGUUCAUAUCGACGGCGC
rnacentral:rRNA from 1 species